rnacentral:rRNA from 1 species
CUGGCGGCGUGCUUACACAUGCAAGUCGAGCGGAAAGGCCCUUCGGGGUACUCGAGCGGCGAACGGGUGAGUAACACGUGAGUAACCUGCCCCUGACUCUGGGAUAAGCCUGGGAAACCGGGUCUAAUACCGGAUAUGACACUCCUCCGCAUGGUGUGGGUGUGGAAAGUUUUUUCGGUUGGGGAUGGACUCGCGGCCUAUCAGCUUGUUGGUGGGGUGAUGGCCUACCAAGGCGACGACGGGUAGCCGGCCUGAGAGGGCGACCGGCCACACUGGGACUGAGACACGGCCCAGACUCCUACGGGAGGCAGCAGUGGGGAAUAUUGCGCAAUGGGCGGAAGCCUGACGCAGCGACGCCGCGUGGGGGAUGACGGCCUUCGGGUUGUAAACCUCUUUCAGCAGGGACGAAGUUGACGUGUACCUGUAGAAGAAGCGCCGGCUAACUACGUGCCAGCAGCCGCGGUAAUACGUAGGGCGCGAGCGUUGUCCGGAAUUAUUGGGCGUAAAGAGCUCGUAGGUGGCUUGUUGCGUCUGCCGUGAAAGCCCGUGGCUUAACUACGGGUCUGCGGUGGAUACGGGCAGGCUAGAGGCUGGUAGGGGCAAGCGGAAUUCCUGGUGUAGCGGUGAAAUGCGCAGAUAUCAGGAGGAACACCGGUGGCGAAGGCGGCUUGCUGGGCCAGUUCUGACGCUGAGGAGCGAAAGCUG